rnacentral:rRNA from 1 species
AAGUCGUAACAAGGUUUCCGUAGGUGAACCUGCGGAAGGAUCAUUAUCGAGUUAGGGUCCUCUGGGCCCCAUCUCCAACCCUUGCCUAAAUUACCAUGUUGCUUUGGCAGGCCCGUCUUCAACCGGACCGCCGGGGACUCGCUCCCUGGCCCGCGCCCGUCAGUAGCCCCAACGAAUUCUUUUGAACAGUGAUGUCUAAGUAUAAAUAUAAUAACUAAAACUUUCAACAACGGAUCUCUUGGUUCUGGCAUCGAUGAAGAACGCAGCGAAAUGCGAUAAGUAAUGCGAAUUGCAGAAUUCCGUGAGUCAUCGAAUCUUUGAACGCACAUUGCGCCCUUUGGUAUUCCGAAGGGCAUGCCUGUUCGAGCGUCAUUAUCAACCCUCAAGCCCGGCUUGCUGUUGGGUCUCACCGUUGGCGAUGACGGUGGACCUCAAAGAUAAUGGCAGAGUCCCGAGGACCCUGGAUGCAGCGAGCUCUUCAGCACGCGUCUCGGCGGUUUUCGGGCCCGGUCUUAACCGAUUUAUUUACCAGGUUGACCUCGGAUCAGGUAGGGAUACCCGCUGAACUUAAGCAUAUCAAUAAGCGGAGGAAAAGAAACCAACAGGGAUUGCCUUAGUAACGGCGAGUGAAGCGGCAACAGCUCAAAUUUGAAAUCUGGCUCCUUUGGGGUCCGAGUUGUAAUUUGUAGAGGAUGCUUCGGGCAAGGUGGCGGUCUAAUUUGCUUGGAACAGCGAUUCACAGAGGGUGAGAAUCCCGUCUAGGAUCGCCAACCGCGUCCAUGUGAAGCUCCUUCGACGAGUCGAGUUGUUUGGGAAUGCAGCUCUAAAUGGGUGGUAAAUUUCAUCUAAAGCUAAAUAUUGGCCAGAGACCGAUAGCGCACAAGUAGAGUGAUCGAAAGAUGAAAAGCACUUUGAAAAGAGAGUUAAACAGUAUGUGAAAUUGUUGAAAGGGAAGCGCUUGCAACCAGACUUGUGUGUAUAACGGUUCCCUCGGCCUUCUGGCCGGGUUAUUCUGUUAUCUCCAGGCCAGCGUCGGUUUGGGUGGUCGGUAAAAGACCCCGGGAAUGUAUCUACCUUCGGGUCGACUUAUAGCCCGGGGUGUAAUGCGGCCCAUCCAGACCGAGGAACGCGCUUCGGCUCGGAUGCUGGCGUAAUGGUUGUAAGCGGCC